AUUGAACACUGGCGGCAUGCCUUACACAUGCAAGUCGAACGGUAACAGGUCUUCGGAUGCUGACGAGUGGCGAACGGGUGAGUAAUACAUCGGAACGUGCCUAGUAGUGGGGGAUAACUACUCGAAAGAGUGGCUAAUACCGCAUGAGAUCUACGGAUGAAAGCAGGGGAUCGCAAGACCUUGUGCUACUAGAGCGGCCGAUGGCAGAUUAGGUAGUUGGUGGGAUAAAAGCUUACCAAGCCGACGAUCUGUAGCUGGUCUGAGAGGACGAUCAGCCACACUGGGACUGAGACACGGCCCAGACUCCUACGGGAGGCAGCAGUGGGGAAUUUUGGACAAUGGGCGCAAGCCUGAUCCAGCAAUGCCGCGUGUAGGAUGAAGGCCUUCGGGUUGUAAACUGCUUUUGUACGGAACGAAAAGCCCUGGGUUAAUACCCUGGGGUCAUGACGGUACCGUAAGAAUAAGCACCGGCUAACUACGUGCCAGCAGCCGCGGUAAGAC
rnacentral:rRNA from 1 species